UACGUAGGUGGCAAGCGUUGUCCGGAUUUAUUGGGCGUAAAGCGCGCGCAGGCGGCGCAGCAAGUCCAUGGUGAAAGCGCCCGGCUCAACUGGGCGAGUGCCGUGGGGACUGCUGAGCUGGAGGGAAGCAGAGGCGAGUGGAAUUCCGGGUGUAGUGGUGAAAUGCGUAGAGAUCCGGAGGAACACCAGUGGCGAAGGCGGCUCGCUGGGCUUUACCUGACGCUGAGGCGCGAAAGCGUGGGGAGCGAACCGG
rnacentral:rRNA from 1 species